UACAGAGGUCUCAAGCGUUGUUCGGAUUCAUUGGGCGUAAAGGGUGUGUAGGUGGCGCCGUUAGUCGGGUGUGAAAUUUCGGAGCUUAACUCCGAAACUGCAUUCGAUACUGCGGUGCUUGAGGACUGGAGAGGAGACUGGAAUUCAUGGUGUAGCAGUGAAAUGCGUAGAGAUCAUGAGGAAGACCAGUGGCGAAGGCGGGUUGCUGGGCUGACACUGACGCUGAUGCGCGAAAGCCAGGGGAGCGAACGGG
rnacentral:rRNA from 1 species